rnacentral:rRNA from 1 species
AACGAACGCUGGCGGCAGGCUUAACACAUGCAAGUCGAACGGUUGUAGCAAUACAGCAGUGGCAGACGGGUGAGUAACACGUGGGAACCUUCCUAGGGGUACGGAACAACUCAGGGAAACUUGAGCUAAUACCGUAUACGUCCGUGAGGAGAAAGAUUUAUCGCCCUUAGUCGGGCCCGCGUCGGAUUAGCUAGUUGGUGGGGUAAUGGCCUACCAAGGCGACGAUCCGUAGCUGAUCUUAGAGGAUGAUCAGCCACACUGGGACUGAGACACGGCCCAGACUCCUACGGGAGGCAGCAGUGGGGAAUCUUGGACAAUGGGCGCAAGCCUGAUCCAGCCAUGCCGCGUGAGUGAAGAAGGUCUUCGGAUUGUAAAGCUCUUUUGCCAGGGACGAUAAUGACGGUACCUGGAGAAUAAGCCCCGGCAAACUUCGUGCCAGCCGCCGCAGUAAUAC